GCCAAACUCAACUCAGACACCCAUCAAAUGGACCUCGAGGGGGUACCAGACGUGCGAUGCUGGAGAGAUGUGUCAGGAGACGCUUCUGCUGGUAGACGUAGGUGCGUGGGCUGCACAAGAGGGAACCUGCACUCACCCUCUGCCUGCUGAGCUCCUGCCUCCCUCGGAGCCUCCCUCCCUCAGCCCGGCUCUCACUGUCUCACCCCUCAGGACACAGAUCACUCAUAGUGGGGAGCAAGGGCUGCACCCAGAUCAGGACACAUGAAUCCCCGACUGUCACCGUCCACUCGGGGCCCCCCGGAAUGCUCGUGGCCUCCUAUGCCCAGUUCUGCUCCUCCAGCGGGUGCAACGGGGCCAACAACAGCAGUGUCCUGUUGGAUGCCAUCCCCCGUCCAGCUCCCCCUGUCCCAGGAGACCUGCAGUGUCCUGCCUGUGUUGAGUUGUUUGGAUCCUGCUCACAAAACUCAGAAAAUGUUACCUG
rnacentral:lncRNA from 1 species